rnacentral:snRNA from 1 species
UCCACCGUCACGCUCCGUCG